rnacentral:rRNA from 1 species
CCCUUAGAUGUCCUGGGCCGCACGCGCGCUACACUGAUGCAUGCAACGAGUUUAUAACCUUGGCCUGAAAGGUCUGGGUAAUCUUUUGAACGUGCAUCGUGAUAGGGAUAGAUUAUUGCAAUUGUUAAUCUUGAACGAGGAAUUCCUAGUAAACGCGAGUCAUCAGCUCGCAUUGAUUACGUCCCUGCCCUUUGUACACACCGCCCGUCGCACCUACCGAUUGAAUGGUUCGGUGAAGUUCUCGGACUUCGAUAUUUAUUCUUUAUUGAGUUUAUAUUGUGGGAAGUUAUCUAAACCUCAUCAUUUAGAGGAAGGUGAAGUCGUAACA